UACGGAGGGAGCUAGCGUUACUCGGAAUCACUGGGCGUAAAGAGCAUGUAGGCGGAUUGAUAAGUUUGAAGUGAAAUCCUAUAGCUUAACUAUAGAACUGCUUUGAAAACUGUUGAUCUAGAAUGUGGGAGAGGUAGAUGGAAUUUCUGGUGUAGGGGUAAAAUCCGUAGAGAUCAGAAGGAAUACCGAUUGCGAAGGCGAUUUACUGGAACACAAUUGACGCUGAGAUGCGAAAGCGUGGGGAGCAAACAGG
rnacentral:rRNA from 1 species